UCGGGAAUAUUGCGCAAUGGAGGAAACUCUGACGCAGUGACGCCGCGUAUAGGAAGAAGGUUUUCGGAUUGUAAACCAUUGUCGUUAGGGAAGAAGAAGUGACAGUACCUAAGGAGGAAGCUCCGGCUAACUAUGUGCCAGCAGCCGCGGUAAUACAUAGGGAGCGAGCGUUAUCCGGAUUUAUUGGGUGUAAAGGGUGCGUAGACGGGAAUACAAGUUGGUUGUGAAAGCCCUCGGCUUAACUGAGGAACUGCAACCAAAACUAUAUUUCUUGAGUAUCGGAGAGGAAAGUGGAAUUCCUAGUGUAGCGGUGAAAUGCGUAGAUAUUAGGAGGAACACCAGUGGCGAAGGCGACUUUCUGGACGAAAACUGACGUUGAGGCACGAAAGUGUGGGGAGCAAACAGG
rnacentral:rRNA from 1 species